UACGAGGGGGGGCGAGCGUUGUUCGGAAUUAUUGGGCGUAAAGGGUGCGUAGGCGGUUUGGUAAGUCUUAUGUGAAAUCUAUGGGCUCAACUCAUAGUCUGCAUGAGAAACUGCCGGGCUUGAGUAUGGGAGAGGUGAGUGGAAUUCCUGGUGUAGCGGUGAAAUGCGUAGAUAUCAGGAGGAACACCUGUGGCGAAAGCGGCUCACUGGACCAUAACUGACGCUGAUGCACGAAAGCUAGGGGAGCAAACAGG
rnacentral:rRNA from 1 species